AUGAAAGUAGUAUAAUAUAGUACAAAUUUUUUCCAAAAAUUUGGUUUAAUAUUUCAUA
rnacentral:tRNA from 1 species